CACGCUCUAACUGACCAUCUGUAAACACCGCGCACCUUGCCCCGAGGGACCAGUCUACAGGGAAGUAGCUCUACCCUUGUCCAUUCGUCCUGGUGAUAAGGAAACUACACAGACAAGAUGAGUGUGGCGAUAAUAGCUGUUCUUGCUAUUGCAUUCCUCAUCGGGAUGCAGAUUCCAUAUAUUCGCGCAUGCGGAUUGUUACUUUAGAACCAAGUUUCCACUAGCUGUUCCACAUGCCAGCAGAAAGAGAAUCUUUCAAUUGGAGAUCGAUACCCAGUAUGAAAUCAUAUUCACAAAUACCAAAACGGAUUGUGCGUGACAUUCUUGAACUACUAUACUGCCAUAGGAAAGCUAUUUCAGGAAGAAAAAUGCUAUUUAAUUGAAGAUUCUGAUGACUGACCUUAUGAUUGAUAAUAUCAUAUGCACUUUGAAAUGACGAAAUAAAGUUAUGUAUUUUA